rnacentral:rRNA from 1 species
GAACGCUGGCGGCGUGCCUAACACAUGCAAGUCGAGCGGAGUCGAUCGACGGAAGCCUUCGGGCGGAAGAUGGUUGACUUAGCGGCGGAUGGGUGAGUAACGCGUGGGCAACCUGCCUCGAAGACCGGGAUAACAGCCCGAAAGGGCUGCUAAUACCGGAUGUGGUCAAGGAUCCGCAUGGAUUUUGAUUAAAGGGGAAACCCGUUUCGAGAUGGGCCCGCGUCCUAUCAGCUAGUUGGUGAGGUAAAAGCUCACCAAGGCGACGACGGGUAGCCGGCCUGAGAGGGUGACCGGCCACACUGGAACUGAGACACGGUCCAGACUCCUACGGGGGGCAGCAGUGGGGAAUCUUCCACAAUGGGCGAAAGCCUGAUGGAGCGACGCCGCGUGAGCGAAGAAGGCCUUCGGGUUGUAAAGCUCUGUCUGGAGGGACGAAGGAAGUGACGGUACCUCCGGAGGAAGCCACGGCUAACUACGUG